UACAGAGGUCUCAAGCGUUGUUCGGAUUCAUUGGGCGUAAAGGGUGUGUAGGUGGCGCGCUAAGUCGGGUGUGAAAUUUCGGAGCUUAACUCCGAAACUGCAUUCGAUACUGGCGUGCUUGAGGACUGGAGAGGAGACUGGAAUUUACGGUGUAGCAGUGAAAUGCGUAGAUAUCGUAAGGAAGACCAGUGGCGAAGGCGGGUCUCUGGACAGUUCCUGACACUGAGACACGAGGGCCAGGGGAGCAAACGGG
rnacentral:rRNA from 1 species